rnacentral:tRNA from 1 species
GGAUUUUUAGUUCAGUUGGUAGAGAAACCGGCUUAUACCCGGUUAGUUCUUGGUUCGAGUUCAAACGAUUAUAUUGGCAAGGGAUUGACGCUUUUCAUAUACUCUUCCAUGCAAGACCAUCCU